UUUGUGGCUUACUUCUCUAUCCUUAUACCCGCGUCUUUUGAAUCUACUUAUCGAUGCACGGCACAGAAAUAUAUCGGAUAUUUUGUGCGAGACUUAUCGGCGUUUUAUUUUGAAAUCCAAAAUAUUAUAGUCGAGUUUGUGACAACAUUUUUGCGGCAUAAAUUCCCAAAGUGGUCGUAGAGGUUUGAACACUUAUACAUUAUCGGCAUGGAUGCCAGUUUCGAAUUGACCCAAUAUUGUCUCUAUACUCAAUGUAGUUUCUGAAAUGGUAUGUUUAAAUAACAUAUUAACCUAUGAUUAUGAUUAACACCAGAUUAAACAUACUUAUCGUUGAAGGAUAUACACUUACAUGAGCACUAACGACUAACCCCACUAGCGACUAGCCCCUUCCCGUGUCGUGGGACCAACUAUGCCCAACUUAAAUAUAUGUACAUACAAAAAACACUGCAAAGGAGCUCGGCACUCCUCCUAAAGUGCCGGAGGGAAAAGACCAUCCCUCUACUAACGCAUCUGGGAAACCAGUGCCCAAAACGACGGGGAAGGAGACUAAGUCGGUCCACCGUUUUCAGGCAGCAGGCGCUGCGAGGCUAGGACCGAAAAGCCAAGCGGGCCAAUCCACGUGGGGGGCCCCAAGGGCGUCCUGGUUACCCGUGUGGCAGCCAUCGGGGCCGGCAGGCCCCUUGGGACCGGGGACCCCUUGACAACCCCGGCAGGCGGCGCCUCUGCCUCGAAAGAUAGGCCCAAGUUUCAAGACAAGAGACGUGCGGCCUUCAUCCUGGUCAACGACGACCCGGUGUUCCUGGCGUCUGCCCAGGGAAUCGAAUCGCGGCGAUGGGCCAAGACGGCCCAAGCAAGCGGCAACGCCGGAAGGUGGCCAAGUUAGAGGAGGGCAACGGGCAGGGGCGCCAAAUCAUCCUCGUCCUGAACGAGGAGUCCGUUAGACUUCUCCACGACACGGAGGGAACUGUGGACUACGGCUACAAGAAGGUAAUCAUAGUGGAGCCCCCGGAGAUCCCUAGCAUGGAGAUCAAGCCUGUGUCGGUGUCGGACGAGGCAUCAGUAGUGUCGGAUGACAUCUUAGAUGGGUACGUUUCAGACGUGAGCGAAUUGAUAGCUGCUUUUGGCCUUUACAGAGCUUGGAGACAAUUAUUUUUUUACUAUAUUGCUUAAAUUACAGAAAUUUUCUCGUAAGGUAUCUUUGCUAAAUUGACCAAUUUUAUUGCUGUCAAAAUUCAUUUUAGAUGGAUUACCACCAAAUUCAAGAAUUUCCUGCAAAAUUUCCUUGGCAUAUACCCGAUCGGCAGAUGAAGACUCUGCUAUGUUUGUAUUUUCUUGUUCGUUUAAACUAUUUUGAGACUAUUGCUCAGCAUCUGAACAAUCUGCAUCUGAUAAUUCAGAGUCAGAGCAAAAAAAAAUUUAAUUGUUUGCUUCAGUCUGGCUAUAGCAAUACUACACAUAUACGAUCUGGUUCAAAUUCUAG
rnacentral:misc_RNA from 1 species